AGAAUAUCGGUGAUGCAUUAGUUUAAAACUGCGUUAUCUAUCUGAUAUUCCCAAUUUGGAGUUCAAGAUGUUUUUCUAGCUCCUGAGAACCUCU